rnacentral:rRNA from 1 species
UAACACGUGAGCAACCUGCCUUUCAGAGGGGGAUAACAGUUGGAAACGACUGCUAAUACCGCAUAACGCUGCGAUGGGGCAUCCCGAUGCAGCCAAAGGAGCAAUCCGCUGGAAGAUGGGCUCGCGGCCGAUUAGCUAGUUGGUGGGGUAACGGCCCACCAAGGCGACGAUCGGUAGCCGGACUGAGAGGUUGAUCGGCCACAUUGGGACUGAGACACGGCCCAGACUCCUACGGGAGGCAGCAG